CCUACGGGACGCAGCAGUGAGGAAUAUUGGUCAAUGGACGCAAGUCUGAACCAUCCAUGCCGCGUUCAGGAAGACGGCUCUAUUAGUUGUAAACUGCUUUUGUACGAGGGUAAACGCAGAUACGCGUAUCUGUCUGAAAGUAUCGUACGAUUAAGGAUCGGCUAACUCCGUGCCAGCAGCCGCGGUAAUACGGAGGAUUCAAGCGUUAUCCGGAUUUAUUGGGUUUAAAGGGUGCGUAGGCGGUCGGAUAAGUUAGAGGUGAAAUCCCGAGGCUCAACUUCGGAAUUGCCUCUGAUACUGUUCGGCGAGAGAGUAGUUGCGGUAGGCGGAAUGUAUGGUGUAGCGGUGAAAUGCUUAGAGAUCAUACAGAACACCGAUUGCGAAGGCAGCUUACCAAGCUACUUCUGACGUUGAGGCACGAAAGCGUGGGGAGCAAACAGGAUUAGAUACCCUAGUAGUC
rnacentral:rRNA from 1 species